AGCUUUGCGCAGCGGCAGUAUCACAGCCAAUGAGGUUUAUCCAAGGCGCGAUUAUUGCUAAUUGAAAUCCAGAGAGCGAGACCUUGUUUCCAAAAAAAAGGAUGAAAAAAGAUUAAGUCAAGAAUGAG
rnacentral:snRNA from 1 species